UAUCCUACGGGACGCAGCAGUGAGGAAUAUUGGUCAAUGGCCGCAGGGCUGAACCAGCCAAGUCGCGUGAGGGAUGACGGUCAUAUGGAUUGUAAACCUCUUUUGUCAGGGAGCAAAGGGCGCCACGUGUGGCGCUUUGCGAGUACCUGAAGAACAAGCAUCGGCUAACUCCGUGCCAGCAGCCGCGGUAAUACGGAGGAUGCGAGCGUUAUCCGCAUUUAUUGGGUUUAAAGGGUGCGCAGGCGGAAUGUCAAGUCAGCGGUAAAAUUAC
rnacentral:rRNA from 1 species